UACGGGGGGGGUAAGCGUUGUUCGGAAUUACUGGGCGUAAAGGGCUCGUAGGCGGCCAACUAAGUCAGACGUGAAAUCCCUCAGCUUAACUGGGGAACUGCGUCUGAUACUGGAUGGCUUGGAUUCGGGAGAGGAAUGCGGAAUUCCAGGUGUAGCGGUGAAAUGCGUAGAUAUCGUUUGGAACGCCAAUGGUGAAGACAGCUCGCUGGGGGUGUGCUGACGCUGAGACACGAAAGCCAGGGGAGCGAACGGGG
rnacentral:rRNA from 1 species